rnacentral:rRNA from 1 species
UACGUAGGGUGCAAGCGUUGUCCGGAAUUAUUGGGCGUAAAGAGCUCGUAGGCGGUUUGUCGCGUCGGGAGUGAAAUCCACUGGCUUAACUGGUGGCUUGCUUUCGAUACGGGCAGACUGGAGGUAUGCAGGGGAGAACGGAAUUCCUGGUGUAGCGGUGAAAUGCGCAGAUAUCGGGAGGAACACCGGUGGCGAAGGCGGUUCUCUGGGCCUUACCUGACGCUGAGGAGCGAAAGCGUGGGGAGCGAACAGG